rnacentral:rRNA from 1 species
AUUGAACGCUGGCGGCAGGCCUAACACAUGCAAGUCGAACGAGUGGCGGACGGGUGAGUAAUGUCUGGGAAACUGCCCGAUGGAGGGGGAUAACUACUGGAAACGGUAGCUAAUACCGCAUACCAUCGGAUGUGCCCAGAUGGGAUUAGCGAGUAGGUGGGGUAACGGCACACCUAGGCGACGAUCCCUAGCUGGUCUGAGAGGAUGACCAGCCACACUGGAGCUGAGUAAGGGUCCAGAGGACUACGGGAGUCAGAAGUGGAGAAUAGUGAACAAUGGGCGCAAGCCUGAUGCAACCAUGCCGCGUGUAUGAAGAAGGCCUUCGGGUUGUAAAGUACUUGCAGCGAGGAGGCGUUACUCGCAGAAGAAGCACCGGCUAACACCGUGCCAGCAGCCGCGGUAAUUC